GAUGAACGCUGGCGGCGUGCUUAACACAUGCAAGUCGAACGAUGAAGCCCAGCUUGCUGGGUGGAUUAGUGGCGAACGGGUGAGUAACACGUGAGUAACCUGCCCUUAACUCUGGGAUAAGCCUGGGAAACUGGGUCUAAUACCGGAUAGGAGCGUCCACCGCAUGGUGGGUGUUGGAAAGAUUUAUCGGUUUUGGAUGGACUCGCGGCCUAUCAGCUUGUUGGUGAGGUAAUGGCUCACCAAGGCGCCGACGGGUAGCCGGCCUGAGAGGGUGACCGGCCACACUGGGACUGAGACACGGCCCAGACUCCUACGGGAGGCAGCAGUGGGGAAUAUUGCACAAUGGGCGAAAGCCUGAUGCAGCGACGCCGCGUGAGGGAUGACGGCCUUCGGGUUGUAAACCUCUUUCAGUAGGGAAGAAGCGAAAGUGACGGUACCUGCAGAAGAAGCACCGGCUAACUACGUG
rnacentral:rRNA from 1 species